UUAUUGGUCAACGUGGUAGUUGCUUAUGGUGUCCAUGGUUGACAUAUGGGUCAUUAGUCAACAAGGUGUAGUUGCUUAUGAUGUCCAUGGAUGACAUAUGGGUCAUUGGUCAACAUGGUGUAGUUGCUUAUGGUGUCCAUUGAUGACAUAUGGGUCAUUGGUCAACAUGGUGUAUUUGCUUAUGGUGUCCAUGGAUGACAUAUGGGUCAUUGGUCAACAUGGUGUGUAGUUGCUUAUGUUGUCCGUGGAUGAAAUAUGGGUCAACAUGGUAGUUGCUUAUGGUGUCCAUGGAUGACAUAUGGGUCAUUGGUCAACAAGGUGUAGUUGCUUAUGAUGUCCAUGGAUGACAUAUGGGUCAUUGGUCAACAUGGUGUAGUUGCUUAUGGUGUCCAUUGAUAACAUAUGGGUCAUUAGUCAACAUGGUGUAUUUGCUUAUGGUGUUCAUGGAUGACAUAUAGGUCAUUGGUCAACAUGGUGUGUAGUUGCUUAUGUUGGUCAACAUGGUGUAGUUGCUUAUGGUGUCCAUGGAUGACAAACGGUUCAUUGGUCAACAUGGUAGUUGCUUAUGGUGUGAUGGUAUCACCCAUGGAUAACAUAUAGGCAAUUGGUCAACAUAUAGUUGCUUUUGGUUUCCACGUAUGACAUAUGUGUCAAUGGUCAAC
rnacentral:lncRNA from 1 species